rnacentral:rRNA from 1 species
UCAGGAUGAACGCUAGCUACAGGCUUAACACAUGCAAGUCGAGGGGCAGCAUGAUCGAAGCUUGCUUGAUAGAUGGCGACCGGCGCACGGGUGAGUAACGCGUAUCCAACCUUCCCAUCACUCAGGGAUAGCCCGCCGAAAGGCGAAUUAAUACCUGAUGGUCUCCUUCGCGGACAUCUAACGAGGAGUAAAGAUUUAUUGGUGAUGGAUGGGGAUGCGUCUGAUUAGGUAGUAGGCGGGGUAACGGCCCACCUAGCCGACGAUCAGUAGGGGUUCUGAGAGGAAGGUCCCCCACAUUGGAACUGAGACACGGUCCAAACUCCUACGGGAGGCAGCAGUGAGGAAUAUUGGUCAAUGGACGGAAGUCUGAACCAGCCAAGUAGCGUGCAGGAAUGACGGCCCUAUGGGUUGUAAACUGCUUUUGUGCGGGAAUAAAGUAUGGGACGUGUCCCAUUUUGCAUGUACCGCACGAAUAAGGACCGGCUAAUUCCGUGCCAGCAGCUGC